UUAUUGCUGAGACAAAAAUUGGUUUUGAUCCCUGUGAAGAUUUUCGGCGUUCUGCUGUGGCUCCUUCCUCUCUGGCGGUCUUCCUCACAGCUUCUAGCUGCCUUUGUUCCAACUUUUCACUUCUGUCUCAUCAACUCAGAACAUUUACAGGCUCCGUUUUUCCCUCCUCAUUGUGUGUAGACACUGCCCCCAUUUGUUUCUGACUUGAGACGAAUCAGAGCCCUGUGCUGCCUGUUUUCCAGUGACUGAGUUGUGUCGUAUAUUCCAUUUGGUUUUCACUUGUGCAGAGCAGGAUUCUAAAUUUAAUGGAUAGAUUUCAGUUCUGGGAACUGCAAAUAAAAAAUAUUAAAAAUCAAAGAAUAAAAUAAAACUAAAGACAGGACAGGAAAUGAGAAAUGUAGUUGGAAAUGAUGUGAAUGAAGCUGAAGGAAGAGAAAUUUCCAGGACUUAGCACAUAGUCGAUAGUCAAUACUGUCAAACGCUUCCAAGAGAAGCAGGCAGAGAAGCGAACGUGAGUUCCUUCCCCGGAAGUGGGCACGUCACAGAGAAGCUGCUCACCGGGAAGAAAGAACCUCGGAGAAAGCCACAUGCCUCUGCUCUUUUCCUGAUUCUGCCAUGUGCCAAACGGUCCUCGGCCUCAUGGUCCUUUGUCUCCUGGGUGCAGGCUUCCUUGAAGCAGAAGUCACCCAGACUCCCGGGCACCUGGUCAAAGGGACAGGACAGAAAGCGGAAAUGGACUGUGUCCCAAGAAAGGGACACAAUUAUGUUUGCUGGUAUCAACAGAUC